GAUGAACGCUGGCGGCGUGCCUAAUACAUGCAAGUCGAGCGAACAGAUAAGGAGCUUGCUCCUUUGACGUUAGCGGCGGACGGGUGAGUAACACGUGGAUAACCUACCUAUAAGACUGGGAUAACUUCGGGAAACCGGAGCUAAUACCGGAUAACAUAUUGAACCGCAUGGUUCAAUAGUGAAAGGCGGCUUUGCUGUCACUUAUAGAUGGAUCCGCGCCGUAUUAGCUAGUUGGUAAGGUAACGGCUUACCAAGGCAACGAUACGUAGCCGACCUGAGAGGGGGAUCGCCCACCCUGGAACUGGGACACGGUCCAGACUCCUACGGGAGGCAGCAGUAGGGAAUCUUCCGCAGUGGGCGAAAGCCUGACGGAGCAACGCCGCGUGAGUGAUGAAGGUCUUCGGAUCGUAAAACUCUGUUAUCAGGGAAGAACAAAUGUGUAAGUAACUGUGCACAUCUUGACGGUACCUGAUCAGAAAGCCACGGCUAACUACGUG
rnacentral:rRNA from 1 species